rnacentral:rRNA from 1 species
AGUGGCGGACGGGUGAGUAACGCGUGAGAAUCUGCCUUGGGGUCGGGGACAACCACUGGAAACGGUGGCUAAUACCGGAUAAGCCGAUUGGUGAAAGAUUUAUUGCCCAAAGAGGAGCUCGCGUCUGAUUAGCUAGUUGGUGAGGUAAGAGCUCACCAAGGCAGCGAUCAGUAGCUGGUCUGAGAGGACGAUCAGCCACACUGGGACUGAGACACGGCCCAGACUCCUACGGGAGGCAGCAGUGGGGAAUUUUCCGCAAUGGGCGAAAGCCUGACGGAGCAAGACCGCGUGAGGGAGGAAGGCUCUUGGGUUGUAAACCUCUUUUCUCAGGGAAGAAGCUCUGACGGUACCUGAGGAAUCAGCCUCGGCUAACUCCGUGCCAGCAGCCGCGGUAAUACGGAGGAGGCAAGCGUUAUCCGGAAUUAUUGGGCGUAAAGCGUCCGCAGGUGGCGAUUCAAGUCUGCUGUCAAAGCACGGGGCUUAACUCCGUAAAGGCAGUGGAAACUGAAUAGCUAGAGUGCCGUAGGGGUAGAGGGAAUUCCCGGUGUAGCGGUGAAAUGCGUAGAGAUCGGGAAGAACAUCGGUGGCGAAAGCGCUCUACUGGACGGCAACUGACACUCAGGGACGAAAGCUAGGGGAGCGAAUGGGAUUAGAUACCCC